AUACGUAGGGUGCAAGCGUUAAUCGGAAUUACUGGGCGUAAAGCGUGCGCAGGCGGUUAUGUAAGACAGAGGUGAAAUCCCCGGGCUCAACCUGGGAACUGCCUUUGUGACUGCAUAGCUAGGGUACGGUAGAGGGGGAUGGAAUUCCGCGUGUAGCAGUGAAAUGCGUAGAUAUGCGGAGGAACACCGAUGGCGAAGGCAAUCCCCUGGACCUGUACUGACGCUCAUGCACGAAAGCGUGGGGAGCAAACAGGAUUAGAUACCCUGGUAGUCCACGCCCUAAACGAUGUCAACUGGUUGUUGGGUCUUCACUGACUCAGUAACGAAGCUAACGCGUGAAGUUGACCGCCUGGGGAGUACGGCCGCAAGGUUGAAACUCAAAUGAAUUGACGGGG
rnacentral:rRNA from 1 species